UGGGGAAUAUUGCACAAUGGGCGCAAGCCUGAUGCAGCCAUGCCGCGUGUAUGAAGAAGGCCUUCGGGUUGUAAAGUACUUUCAGCGGGGAGGAAGGAGUUGUGGUUAAUAACCACAGCAAUUGACGUUACCCGCAGAAGAAGCACCGGCUAACUCCGUGCCAGCAGCCGCGGUAAUACGGAGGGUGCAAGCGUUAAUCGGAAUUACUGGGCGUAAAGCGCACGCAGGCGGUCUGUCAAGUCGGAUGUGAAAUCCCCGGGCUCAACCUGGGAACUGCAUUCGAAACUGGCAGGCUAGAGUCUUGUAGAGGGGGGUAGAAUUCCAGGUGUAGCGGUGAAAUGCGUAGAGAUCUGGAGGAAUACCGGUGGCGAAGGCGGCCCCCUGGACAAAGACUGACGCUCAGGUGCGAAAGCGUGGGGAGCAAACA
rnacentral:rRNA from 1 species